rnacentral:ncRNA from 2 species
ACAACAUAUAGGCGUCGUGGUUCUAUCAGAUCGCAAGAUUUGGUGGCUAAGAAGGGAAGCUGGUGAAUUGCCGAAAGGGCAAUGAUUCCAGCGCUGCCCCCGCAACUGUAAGCAGUGAGCUGAUUCCAGCAAGGUCACUGACGCGUUUUCGCGUUGGGAAGGCCGGGAUCGGCAUCGACCUGCGAGCCAGGAGACCUGCCGCGACACCAGAACGUCC